rnacentral:rRNA from 1 species
UCGGGAAUAUUGCGCAAUGGAGGAAACUCUGACGCAGUGACGCCGCGUGCAGGAAGAAGGUUUUCGGAUUGUAAACUGCUUUAGACAGGGAAAGAAAAAAGACAGUACCUGUAGAAUAAGCUCCGGCUAACUACGUGCC